rnacentral:rRNA from 1 species
GCUUAACCGAAGAAGUGCAUCGGAAACUGGGUGACUUGAGUGCAGAAGAGGACAGUGGAACUCCAUGUGUAGCGGUGGAAUGCGUAGAUAUAUGGAAGAACACCAGUGGCGAAGGCGGCUGUCUGGUCUGCAACUGACGCUGAGGCUCGAAAGCAUGGGUAGCGAACAGGAUUAGAUACCCUGGUAGUCCAUGCCGUAAACGAUGAGUGCUAGGUGUUGGAGGGUUUCCGCCCUUCAGUGCCGGAGCUAACGCAUUAAGCACUCCGCCUGGGGAGUACGACCGCAAGGUUGAAACUCAAAGGAAUUGACGGGGGCCCGCACAAGCGGUGGAGCAUGUGGUUUAAUUCGAAGCUACGCGAAGAACCUUACCAGGUCUUGACAUCUUGCGCUAACCUAAGAGAUUAGGCGUUCCCUUCGGGGACGCAAUGACAGGUAGUGCAUGGUCGUCGUCAGCUCGUGUCGUGAGAUGUUGGGUUAAGUCCCGCAACGAGCGCAACCCUUGUUACUAGUUGCCAGCAUUCAGUUGGGCACUCUAGUGAGACUGCCGGUGACAAACCGGAGGAAGGUGGGGACGACGUCAGAUCAUCAUGCCCCUUAUGACCUGGGCUACGCACGUGCUACAAUGGUCGGUACAACG